rnacentral:rRNA from 1 species
UCCCUUCGGGGACAUUGGUGACAGGUGGUGCAUGGUUGUCGUCAGCUCGUGUCGUGAGAUGUUGGGUUAAGUCCCGCAACGAGCGCAACCCUUGUCUUUAGUUGCCAUCAUUAAGUUGGGCACUCUAGAGAGACUGCCAGGGAUAACCUGGAGGAAGGUGGGGAUGACGUCAAAUCAUCAUGCCCCUUAUGCUUAGGGCUACACACGUGCUACAAUGGGUAGUACAGAGGGUUGCCAAGCCGUAAGGUGGAGCUAAUCCCUUAAAGCUACUCUCAGUUCGGAUUGUAGGCUGAAACUCGCCUACAUGAAGCUGGAGUUACUAGUAAUCGCAGAUCAGAAUGCUGCGGUGAAUGCGUUCCCGGGUCUUGUACACACCGCCCGUCACACCACGGGAGUUGGAGACGCCCGAAGCCGAUUAUCUAACCUUUUGGAAGAAGUCGUCGAAGGUGGAAUCAAUAACUGGGGUGAAGUCGUAACAAGGUAGCCGUAUCGGAAGGUGCGGCUGGAUCACCUCCUUUCUAAGGA